rnacentral:misc_RNA from 1 species
UUGGCUGCAUUCAGGAAGGA